rnacentral:lncRNA from 1 species
UCAGAGUUCAAACGAAGAAUGAAAGAAAGGUGAUUCAUGAUAUUUUGUUUGUGCCAGAAUUGGGUUAGAAUCUACUGAGUCUUGGACAGCUUUUGGAGCAUGCAUAUUUACUUAUUUCUAAAGGUCAUGGAUGUUAUCUAUGACAAAACAAAUAAGAAAAUGACAAAGAUCAAGAUGGGCCAGCAAAGGAGCUUUCCAUUGACUUUUCAAUAUGCAAAGG